rnacentral:tRNA from 1 species
CGCGGAAUAGUGUAGUUGGCUAACAUAUUGGGCUCAUAAUCCAAAGAUCAUUGGUUCAAGUCCAAUUUCCGCAC